UACGGGGGAGCAAGCGUUGUUCGGAUUUACUGGCGUAAAGGGCGCGUAGGCGGCCACCGCAAGUCAGUUGUGAAAUCUCUGGGCUUAACCCAGAACGGUCAGCUGAUACUGCGGGGCUAGAGUGCAGAAGGGCACUGGAAUUCUCGGUGGUAGCGGUGAAAUGCGUAGAUAUCGAGAGGAACACCUGCGGCGAAGGCGGGUUGCUGGGCUGACACUGACGCUGACAGCGCGAAAGCGUGGGGAGCAAACAGG
rnacentral:rRNA from 1 species